AUGACAAACAAACUGAUACCCUUGCAUCUGCUACUAACAAAUAAAUAACCGACCCGACUCCUCUUCUUCAAUAGGGAGUCUCAUUAAUCUCGUUCCCUCUUCCACCUCUGCGUUUAAAUCAAAGCUGAUCGAUCAGAAUUUAGAAGCAGUUAUUAAAGGUACAUAAAAAACAUAAUUAAAUUUUAGAGUGAAAAGAAAAAAGAGAGAGAAAUGGACGAAGAACUGCUGGAAUUGCAGAGGCAAUUUGAAUUCGCGCAGCAAGCAAAAUCCAGCAUUCGUCUGUCGGAGCGGAACGUCGUCGAAUUGGUACAGAAGCUGCAACAGCUCGGAAUAAUCGACUUCGAUCUCCUCCACACCACUUCUGGCAAAGAAUACAUCACUCCUGAACAAUUGAGAAAAGAAAUGGCUGCUGAGAUUAGGAAGUUAGGGCGUGUUUCCUUGAUUGAUUUAGCUGAUAUCACUGGCGUAGAUUUGUAUCACGUGGAGACACAAGCAGGGCAUAUAGUGUCCAAUGACUCAACGCUUAUGCUAAUAAAUGGAGAGAUCAUAUCAAAUUCGUACUGGGAUAUUGUUGCUGAGGAAAUCAAUGAAAGGCUUCAAGAAUGCAGUCAAAUUGUUUUAGCUGAGAUUGCUGCACAGUUGCAAGUUGGAUCUGAGCUAGUUGUGUCUGUUUUAGAACCUCGACUUGGGACUUUGGUCAAAGGUAGGCUUGAAGGUGGCCAGUUGUACACUCCAGCAUAUGUUGCACGUGUGAGUGCAAUGGUUCGCGGUGCUGCAAGGGGUAUUUUUGUUCCAACAAAUUUAUCAGCAUUAUGGAACUCAUUGCAAGAUUUGCUGCAAGAAACAGAUGGAGCUAGUGGUGUGGCUGUUGAAGGCUCCUUUUUCCAGUCACUUUUUAAUGGGUUGGUAAAGGAGGGUGAGAUUCUUGGUUCACUUCGUGCUGGAGUUCACUGGACACCUUCUGUCUUUGCUAUGGCUCAAAAGGAGUGUGUAGAUUCUUUCCUUUCACAGAAUUCUUACAUCAGUUAUGAAGCUCUACAGAAACUUGGAAUUCCACAACCUGUUCAAUAUCUUCAGGCCAGAUACCCUGAAGGUAUACCUCUAGUUACUUUAUUUGUGCAUCCAUCAAUAAUUGAGAUGUUGGAUGCUUCUGCUGAGGAUGCCAUAGAACGUGGUAGCUGGAUGGAUUCACUUUCUGUUUUACCAGCAUCCUUUGGUUCGCAAGACGCAUCCAAGAUUCUGUCACUUUGUCCGUCUGUUCAAAAGUCUCUUAAGUCUAGUAAGGCGAUUAUUCUGGGAGAAUCAUACAUAUUUAGCAAUGGAUUUGUCAAGGAUCUGUUUGAUCACUUGGAAAAAGGGAUAGAAACACUAAACCUUCCUGCUUUUGCUAGCACUGGACAAUCUGAUAAUUUGCAUGUCAUUAAAGAUGCUUCCGUUAGACAUGAUACACUACCUGAGUCAAAUGAAACUGGUACUGGAAAACAAGCUGUGGAGAAAGGAUCUAAGAAGAAAAAAGGAAAAUUCACCGGGAACACCAAAGUGGAGGCAGCUGAAAGUGAUCCCGAUUACCAUGAAUUAGCACCUACCAAGUCUAAGAAAAACCAGAAGAAAGGCAAGGCACCAACUUCUUUGCAAUUGUCUGAUUCAAAAUUAGGGCUGAGAAAAGAUGAUAGGAUGGAGGAAAGCCACAAUGCUAUUUCAGAAGAAUGGCUUAUUCCGAAGAUCAUGGCACUGAUUCCUGAUCUUGAAGAACAAGGCAUAGGUGAUCCUGAGACCAUUCUUGUACCUUUAGCGAGCUAUCUGAGACCUAUGCUUCUCAAUUCAUUGAAGGAGAGAAGAAAGGCAGCAUUUACACAAAAUGCACAGCGCAUGAAGCGUGUACUUGAUAAUUUGCAACACAAGAUUGAUGAGUCAUUCUUGAACAUACAACUGUAUGAGAAGGCACUGGAUUUGUUUGAAGAUGACCCAUCAACUUCAGUUCUUUUACAUAAACAUUUGCUACGAACCACAGCUACCUCCAUGGUGGAUACUCUACUACUUGACCUGGACAUACACAAUAAAUUGAGAAAUGGAAUGGAAGUUGAAGAACCCCAAAAGCCCAAAAAAUCUGAACCUGCAUCACUUAGUCCUGGAGAUAGGGCUGCACUUGCUAAAAGUUUAGCACGACCCCUUUCAGUCAAGGCACUUGCACUGGUUGAAGCCUUGGAGGCUAAGAGGGUUGAAACUUUUAUGACUGCUCUACGUGCAAUUGCAGAAGAAAGUGGGUUAAUUUUGAAGAAGCUUGAUAAGAAACUGGAAAGAAGUCUUCUGCAUUCGUAUCGUAAGGCUCCAGCCGCAAAUGGGCUUGGAAAGAGUGAGAUACAUGCAGUCUUAAUCUGGCAUGUAGAAAUGCUGUUUUCAUACUUCAAGCUCGUGCUGCCGGCUAUGGAGCCAUGGAUUUGACGUCUCAAAUUUCUGAUGAAACUGACCCUAUUUCCCUUCUACCAAAAGUUGUUUCUCUCCUUUAUGUACAGAUUCAUGGAAGAGCUCUCCAAGCUCCAGGAAGGGCAAUUUCAAUUGCAGUAUCUCGACUGAAGGAUAAAUUGGAUGAUCCAGCAUUUAAGGUCUUAGCUGAUUACCAAGCUGCAACUGUUGCUCUUUUAGCACUCAUGUCUGGGACAACUAGCUCUGAGGAAGAUUGUACAUCUGAUAGAAUUUUGAGCAAGAGGGAGCUGCUGGAGAAUUUGGUGCCUGCAUUGAAAGGUUUAGUGCUGGGUACAUCACAACCUUGAUUGGUGUAAAUCAACAUGCUAAAGUUUUCUUCGACAUGAAUGCUAGCAAUCCAUUUUCUUUCGUGUCAACCUGGAAUGACGAAAGAGAUAUUGGAAUGGUACACUGACUUCAGAAAGGUGACAAAAGUUUUUGACAGUUGAUGCCAUCUUUGGUAAUCAACGGUUGAAUGAGAGCAUUGUGUUUUAUCAAUCUCGGUCGGCCGAAACACAUGAACUGAAAAGUUGGCUGAUAUGUAGAUUUUUUUCGUUUGCCACAUGUAUUAUGCCUAAACCUAUUGAUAGCUUAAGCAAGUUCCGUUAUGUAUAUAUAUAGACCUAAACCCCAUGGCACG